ACAGCAGUAUCAGAUGAAGCAGCUGAAGCGGGUUGAUGCGGUUCCAUGUGUUCUACAGCAGUAUCAGAUGAAGCAGCUGAAGCAGGUUGAUUCCAUCGGUUCCAUGUGUUCUAGCUGAAGCAGCUUGAUGCGGUUCCAUGUGUUCUACAGCAGUAUCAGAUGAAGCGGGUUGAUGCGGUUCCACGUGUUCUACAGCAGUAUCAGAUGAAGCAGCUGAAGCGGCUUGAUGCGAUUCCAUGUGUUCUAGUUGAAGCGGCUUGAUGCGGUUCCAUGUGUUCUAGCUGAAGCAGGUUGAUGCGGUUCCAUGUGUCCUAGCUGAAGUGGGUUGAUGCGGUUCCAUGUGUUCUAGCUG
ensembl:lncRNA